GUACACGCUGUGACUAGCAUAUCAAUAAGCGGAGGAAAAGAAACUAACAAGGAUUCCCCUAGUAACGGCGAGUGAAGCGGGAAGAGCUCAAAUUUGAAAUCUUAAAGGGUUUCCCUUUACGAAUUGCUAGUUUAAAGAAGUGUUCUCUGUUGAGGUUUUGGUAAAAGUUCUUUGGAAUAGGACAUCAUAGAGGGUGAGAAUCCCGUAUUUGACCUUUACUUUCAACUUUGUGAUACACUUUCAAAGAGUCGGAUUGUUUGGGAAUGCAGUCCAAAAUGGGUGGUAAAUUUCAUCUAAAGCUAAAUAUUGGCGAGAGACCGAUAGCGAACAAGUACCGUGAGGGAAAGAUGAAAAGAACUUUGAAAGAGAGUUAAACAGUACGUGAAAUUGUCAAAAGGGAAGCGCUUUGACACCAGUGUUGUUUUUCUGAAAAUCAAUUAAGGAACUGUUUAUGCUAAGCUGUUUAGACUUUAUCAGCUAAUCUGUUUAGUUUUGAGCUUUUCUUUAAUGCACUUUUCAGUUAACAAGUCAACAUCAAUUUCUUUUGCUGUAAAAAAGCUUGAGGAAGGUGGCUUGAGAUUCGUCUUAAGUGUUUAUAGCCUCUUGCCUAUGCAGUCGGAGAGAUUGAGGUCUGCAGCGUAGAUCCUUCGGGGCUAAAUGCAUUUGUGCUAAGUUAUAGCAUUUUAUAGACAACUUGUUGACUAUGAUUUGUCUUGUAGCUUACUCGCUUAUGUUAUUUUACCUACGCUUAGGAUGUUGAUAUGCAUGACUGAUAU
rnacentral:rRNA from 1 species